ACGGAGGGUGCAAGCGUUAAUCGGAAUUACUGGGCGUAAAGCGCACGUAGGCUGUAGUGUAAGUCAGGGGUGAAAUACCACGGCUCAACCGUGGAACUGCCUUUGAUACUGCACAGCUUGAAUCCGGGAGAGGGUGACGGAAUUCCAGGUGUAGGGGUGAAAUCCAUAGAUAUCUGGAAGAACAUCGAUUGCGAAGGCAGCCACCUAGACCGGAUUUGACACUGAGGUGCGAAAGCGUGGGGAGCAAACAG
rnacentral:rRNA from 1 species